rnacentral:rRNA from 1 species
GUCGAACGAGAUUAGAGACUUCGGUUUCUAUGAAAGUGGCGCACGGGUGCGUAACACGUAUGCAACCUACCUUCAAUUGGGGGAUAGCCUUCCGAAAGGGAGAUUAAUACCGCAUAAGAUAUCAGAAUGGCAUCAUUUAGAUAUUAAAACUUUGGUGAUUGAAGAUGGGCAUGCGUUGCAUUAGCUAGUUGGUAAGGUAACGGCUUACCAAGGCUACGAUGCAUAGGGGAUCUGAGAGGAUGGUCCCCCACACUGGUACUGAGAUACGGACCAGACUCCUACGGGAGGCAGCAGUAAGGAAUAUUGGUCAAUGGACGGAAGUCUGAACCAGCCAUGCCGCGUGCAGGAAGACGGCCCUAUGGGUUGUAAACUGCUUUUGUCGGGGAAUAAACCUAGAUACGUGUAUUUAGUUGAAGGUACCCGAAGAAUAAGGAUCGGCUAACUCCGUGCCAGCAGCCGCGGUAAUACGGAGGAUCCAAGCGUUAUCCGGAUUUAUUGGGUUUAAAGGGUGCGUAGGCGGUAAAUUAAGUCAGAGGUGAAAGCCUGCAGCUCAACUGUAGAACUGCCUUUGAUACUGGUUUACUUGAGUACAGAUGAAGUGGGCGGAAUGUGACAAGUAGCGGUGAAAUGCAUAGAUAUGUCACAGAACACCGAUUGCGAAGGCAGCUCACUAAAGUGUAACUGACGCUGAGGCACGAAAGCGUGGGGAUCAAACAGGAUUAGA